AACGAACGCUGGCGGCAUGCCUAACACAUGCAAGUCGAACGAGACCUUCGGGUCUAGUGGCGCACGGGUGCGUAACGCGUGGGAACCUGCCCUUAGGUUCGGAAUAACUCCCCGAAAGGGGUGCUAAUACCGGAUAAUGUCUUCGGACCAAAGAUUUAUCGCCGUUGGAUGGGCCCGCGUUGGAUUAGCUAGUUGGUAGGGUAAAAGCCUACCAAGGCGACGAUCCAUAGCUGGUCUGAGAGGAUGAUCAGCCACACUGGGACUGAGACACGGCCCAGACUCCUACGGGAGGCAGCAGUGGGGAAUAUUGGACAAUGAGCGAAAGCCUGAUCCAGCAAUGCCGCGUGAGCGAUGAAGGCCUUAGGGUUGUAAAGCUCUUUUACCCGGGAUGAUAAUGACAGUACCGGGAGAAUAAGCUCCGGCUAACUCCGUG
rnacentral:rRNA from 1 species